UCCUUGGUGGUCCAGUGGUUAGGACUCCAGGCUCUGACUGCUGAGGGCCCAGGUUCAAUCCCUGGUCGGGGAA